rnacentral:ncRNA from 1 species
GGAUAUAUUUAACAUCGGGGAAUCUUAAUAGAAAUAUUAAUUUAGAAGUUGGCUAUAUGCUGGAACCUCCUUAUAGCUUUUAAGACUAGUUUUAUAACAGUGAAAAUUUGAAAGAUUGGACAAUCAGCAGGUAAGUUAUUUAUUUUAGGUUUAAGCAACUGUAGAAUUUAUAACCCCUCAACGACUACACGCCAAUAUCCAGAAGCUUUGUAAAUUGUAUUCUUACACUGGAUAAAGAUAUAGUCUAAACUUAAUUGAAAAUUUAAG